rnacentral:rRNA from 1 species
CUACGGGUCGCUCCAGUGGGGAAUAUUGGACAAUGGGGGAAACCCUGAUCCAGCAAUGCCGCGUGUGUGAAGAAGUCCUGCUUGUUGUAAAGCACUUUCGGUUGGGAGGACUGCUUCUAGCACUAAUAUUGUUGGAAGUUGACGUUACCUUCAGAAGAAGCACCGGCUAACUCCGUGCCAGCAGCCGCGGUAAUACGGGAGGGUGCAAGCGUUAAUCGGAAUUACUGGGCGUAAAGCGCGCGUAGGCGGCUAGAUCAGUCGGGUGUGAAAGCCCCGGGCUUAACCUGGGAACUGCAUCCGAUACUGUCUAGCUUGAGUACAGGAGAGGAGGGUGGAAUUCCACAUGUAGCGGUGAAAUGCGUAGAUAUGUGGAGGAACACCAAUGGCGAAGGCAGCUCUCUGGCCUGAUACUGACGCUGAGGUGCGAAAGCGUGGGGAGCAAACAGGAUUAGAUACCCUAGUAGUC